UGGGGAAUAUUGCACAAUGGGCGAAAGCCUGAUGCAGCAACGCCGCGUGAGUGAUGAAGGUCUUCGGAUUGUAAAGCUCUGUCUUUUGGGACGAUAAUGACGGUACCAAAGGAGGAAGCCACGGCUAACUACGUGCCAGCAGCCGCGGUAAUACGUAGGUGGCGAGCGUUGUCCGGAUUUACUGGGCGUAAAGGGUGCGUAGGCGGAUGUUUAAGUGAGAUGUGAAAUACCCGGGCUUAACUUGGGUGCUGCAUUUCAAACUGGAUAUCUAGAGUGCAGGAGAGGAGAAUGGAAUUCCUAGUGUAGCGGUGAAAUGCGUAGAGAUUAGGAAGAACACCAGUGGCGAAGGCGAUUCUCUGGACUGUAACUGACGCUGAGGCACGAAAGCGUGGGUAGCAAACAGGAUUAGAUACCCUGGUAGUCCACGCCGUAAAACGAUGAGUACUAGGGUGUAGGAGGUAUCGA
rnacentral:rRNA from 1 species